GAUCCCAUAAAAAAACCGCAGUUAAAGGGGUUUGGGGGAAGAUAGUAUUAGGAGGGGGGACCCCCUGGGAAGUCCCUGUGUUGCCCCCC
rnacentral:rRNA from 1 species